rnacentral:lncRNA from 1 species
GAAAAUUAAACAGCUAUGCCCAUAAGGGGCGACUACUCCUACCUAACUAUGGAAAGUAAAACUACAGCAACGGUCUCUCAAAAUUCGUGCUCCACUCUCUCUCUCUUCUUCCUCCUCUUCCUCGAAUGAUUCACAGCCAUGUGGUAUUUAUAGGCAUGAGUUAGGGCUACACAGGCUGGGCCCAAAAGGAGUGGGCUGGAAUUAGGGCUCCUCCUGCCCACGAUUGCAUCCAGAUCUGGAGCCUGAUUUGUUCUUAUCCAAACCUUAAGGGAUAAGGUUUUGGAUAUCUUUCCUUAUCUACAUCAUCUGCACUCUUCUUCUCUGCCCCGUCUGUACCUUCUGCCCAGCUGAUUCCGCUGCUCGGAUGAUUCCUCUGGCAAAGCCGACUUCGCUGCUCUGGCACUUUGAUUCCGCUGGCAGCUUGAUUUCUCUGGCAAAGCCGACUUCGCUGCUCUGGCAUUUUUGUACCUUCUGCCCAGCUGAUUCCGCUGCUCGGAUGAUUCCUCUGGCAAAGCCGACUUCGCUGCUCUGGCACUUUGAUUCCGCUGGCAGCUUGAUUUCUCUGGCAAAGCCGACUUCGCUGCUCUGGCAUUUCUGUACCUUCUGCCCACGAUCAUCUUCUGAUGCAACUGGGUCCCGCGCGGUACUUAUGGGCAAAAGGGUCGGUUUGCCUUGAGCAACUUCAAACUUCAUCUAAGCUUUUGUAACAUGCUGCUUCAAUCUCCAAUUGGCUCUGUAGCUGUGCUCAUACUUCUUCCCCGAACCGAAGUCGCAUUAUGCCCAGAACCCUCUUCCGAUGCAACUGGAUCCCGCGUGGUACUUAUGGGCAAAAGGUCGGUUUGCCCAAGAUCCUGCUUCUCGGACUUUUGAUCUUCAAAACAAGCUUUUGAGUGUCCCAAACUCUUCUGCUUCAAACUCAUGAAUCUUUCGCGGAAUGCAGC